UACAGAGGGUGCGAGCGUUAAUCGGAAUUACUGGGCGUAAAGGGCGCGUAGGCGGCCUGUUAAGUCGGACGUGAAAUCCCCGGGCUCAACCCGGGAACUGCGUCCGAUACUGGCAGGCUUGAAUCCGGGAGAGGGAUGUGGAAUUCCAGGUGUAGCGGUGAAAUGCGUAGAUAUCGGGAGGAACACCUGUGGCGAAAGCGGCUCACUGGCCCGAUACUGACGCUGAGGCACGAAAGCGUGGGGAGCAAACAGG
rnacentral:rRNA from 1 species